CCCAUAAUGAUUUCUUUGAGAAAUUUUAAUCAGGUUUUCCAUCACAGAGUGCAUUUGUUGCUGGCACUUGAUCUCUUGGCCAGCUGAAGCUUCUGUGCUCCUUUGUCUCUCGAGCAGUUGGGUCUUUUAUAAACUUUCUGGAGCAGUUAUUAAUCACGGAACUCUUUUACCUUUUUUGAGGUGCAAAACUGCACACGGAGUAAAAUACUGGUGUGGUGACACGAGCUAAUUAUCCGCAGCGCUGCUGAUAAGAGUUAGCAUGUUAGCAGUAAUGCCUACAACAGCGUAAUUACUCUGGGUUUCUGUUAUUUUGUAGCAACCAUAUAAUUAGCUGGCUGUACCAGGAGCUGUCUGCUUUUUAUGGCAACCUGUACUCACUAGAAAAGGCUGAGGGAGUGAUCUGUCGCCUUCAUGCUCGCGGGGUAGCGCCAGAAAAUAAGCGUGAAACAGAAGUUAAAAAUCAUACAUCAAACCCUUCUUUUUGGGUGCUGUUCCUGUGGCUAUGGCAUACACGAUAUCAUGGCCGAACUCCUACCGGCUUUCCUUACAGCCAGUGGAGUGGAGGUUUCUUCGUCGUGACUGUUCCCUAUCGUGAUCUGAGAGAGCUGCGAGACUGUGCCCAGGGUAGCAUCUUGUUUUCAGCCGUGUCCAGCAGUCACCUGCAGGGAGCUGCUUCGACACGGGACAGGCGGCAGUGCAGCACCGGCCUCUUCUGCGGGGUUCAGGUAAUAGUGGUUAGCUGUUCUCCGAUGGACCGUUAUCCCGCGUGGGUUUGUCUAAUCCUGCUUUGAACCUGUUAAUACUCCUGGUCUCUACAGUAUCUUCGGGCAACAAGUCUCGCAUGCUAAUUGUGGAUCCGUAGCAUUUGAGCCGUGCAGAGGUAUGUGCUUGGAGCUUAAAGUAGGCCCAGCCUGUCUUUGGAAGAAUGAUGGCGUGAUUCAUCCUCGUAACCAGAGGACCUCAGCCUAAUAAAAGAAACGGAGUGUAUUUUAAAUUGCA
rnacentral:lncRNA from 1 species